UGCAGUCCAUAGCAAUAAUAGCUCAUGCUAUUUAUAGUUAGCAGAAUUUAGUUAGGGGAGAAGGCAAGUUAGGGGAGAAGACUCUUUGUGACUCCAUGGACUGCAGUCAUGGUGAACUGAAGUCUCCACCCCCAGGAGGUGGCAGGAGGUUAGGUUGGUGUGCAAGGAUCUUAUACAUCAUUUCAGGCUAACUUCUGUGGUUGGGACCUCUCUCAAAGAGGGAUGCUUUGCCCAGAAGGCCAGAAGAACCAUUCCUCAAAAGUCAAGAACAUCAACUACCAGCUGAGUCAAGAGGGUUCAUAGUUGGCCACGAAAAUGGGUGACCCAGUUGAAGAUACCAAAACACCAGGUGAGGAAGUUAACUACAUGAAGACCAGACUAUAACCAGGAUUUGAGCUGUCACGAUUCUGAGAACUGACCACAAGGAAAUGGGAACAAGCACACCCCAGAACUGAAGAUUAAUUGCCUGAAACAACCAAGACGAUGCUAGUCAGACUGAUGAUGACCAAUUUGAGGAUGACUGUGCUGUUUCUAUGUAACCUCCCCUCCCACUCUGUCUGUAAUGGCUCUCACCCCCUUGUCGGGGGUGGGAGUGGUGAAGUCGGCCUUUGGAAGAUGUCUGCCACCAUUCCCCCCGCCCCAGUU